rnacentral:piRNA from 1 species
UGCAGUGUUCAUUUGGCUUCACCUUCACAU